GAUGAACGCUGGCGGCGUGCCUAACACAUUCAAGUCGAACGGAGUUAAUUGAAGCUUGCUUUGAUUAACUUAGUGGCGGACGGGUAAGUAACGCGUGAGCAACCUGCCUUCGUGUGGGGGAUAACACAGGGAAACUUGUGCUAAUACCGCAUAACAUAUGAUGGAAGCAUUUCCGACAUAUCAAAGAUUUAUUGCACGAAGAUGGGCUCGCGUCUGAUUAGAUAGUUGGUGAGGUAACGGCUCACCAAGGCGACGAUCAGUAGCCGGUCUGAGAGGAUGAACGGCCACAUUGGGACUGAGAUACGGCCCAGACUCCUACGGGAGGCAGCAGUGGGGAAUAUUGGGCAAUGGGGGAAACCCUGACCCAGCAACGCCGCGUGAAGGAAGAAGGCCUUCGGGUUGUAAACUUCUUUUACCAGGGACGAAGAACGUGACGGUACCUGGAGAAAAAGCAACGGCUAACUACGUG
rnacentral:rRNA from 1 species